UUGAAACCGGCCCGUCGCGCAAACGGCGCCGUGUGGGUCCAUUCUCGCAGCCGACGCAGAAAAAUAAAAGGAAAGAAAUAUAUCCUUUCGAGCGCCGCACAAGGCGAGAAGCUCAGAGCUAUGGCGAUGACGGAGGCGGGAGGCGACGGAUUCGAGUUCCUAUCAGAUCCAAUUAACAGAUUUCCCCGGUUGGAUCUCGCCGCGGGCGAAUCCUUGCUGCGCAACGAAGGAAAUCAAUCUCUGGUAUGCACGGUCGCUCAAUCCAGCCAUAAUGGUGUGGGCGGUGCAGCGGUGACAGUACAAGUGAAAUUUGACAGCGGUUCCAAUGGGUGGCCCUGUCGAAUUCAGAGCAUUCGACAUGCAAAGAUGAUACACAAGCACCUAGCUGGACCAACAGGUUUCGCCUGCCGGACCGCACCGCCAGUAAAUCCUUGCUGGACGGCGAAGCAAAUCAAACUUUGGCAUGCACGGGCGCUGAAUCCAGCAUUUGUGAUGUGGGCGAUGCAGCGCCGACAGCACAAGUAGAUGUCAACAGUACUUGAGAUGGGACGGCCCUAUCACUACUGAACUCAGAACAUUCGACAGGCAAAGACGAUCCUCAAGCACCUGGCUGGACCAAGAGCAGGACAGUACAAAGUUGAGGAAGUCAGUAAAGGGAAAACCUAUUUCAUGCAACGGUACCAUCCAGAGAAAUAUGAAAAGUGAUGCAGGGUUGUAAGUGGAAGUUGUUGAUGAUGGAACGGAGCUGAUAUGUGAAUGUGCUAAUUUUGAGCACACGGACUUGCUCUGUUGUCACGCUGUUAAGGUCCUUGAUUUCCUCGGCAUAGACCAUAUAUCAGCAAAGCAUAUUCUGAAACGGUGGACAAAGGAGGCAAGAGAUCUACUGCCAGCCCACCUGUCACGUCUUCGUAAGGAUAUAAUUUCUGUGAAUUCAAUAACAUAAGGGCACUCAAAUCUGUACACACAUGCACUUGAAGUAGUCAGGCUAGGAGAUGCAAAUACAGAAGCGUAUCCGCGUAUGAGUGUGCAAUGGACAUCUUGAAGACAACAAUGGAUAAACUGACACCAAUAGCCGUUGUGCGAGAUGGAUUGGAAGAAAGAAUUCAGGAACAUAAGAACAAAGAUAAAGAAUCCCUUGCAGCAAUUGCACCCUCCAGCAGCAGUGGGAGUGACGCUGAAGGAAGUGCAGUGGGAAAUUUUGUAGGAUUAAAGCCUCCAGAACAAAAACGAAAGGCCGGUCGACCAACCACCAGCAGGGACAAACCUCCAUAUGAUGAUCGGGGUGCAAAAAGCAAGAAGUACAAGCGACCACCAAUUGCACAAGAUGUAGAGAGAUGUGGUACAAGUAAAUGCGUUUCUGUAGUAUAUGCAAGGGAGCCAGGGCACAAGAGCAAUACACGUCCACAGCGAGGGGAUCUUCCUCGAAAGGAAAGGAAAGAGGCGAAAUGCUCAAACUAUAGCGUCGGUGGGCACAGGAGAAACACCUGCAGCUGCAGCAAGCCAAAAGUUGUUCUGCAUGUGGUUGAAACAAUAGCUUUGGAGACGAAUUUUCCUUAGUUUUGGUUUUUAGGAACUCUGUUGUUGAGGGCUCCGCAGCCAAUAGUUAGGAAUCUGUGUAAUAAAAAAAUUGUUGAUGCUUCUCUGCUAUGUGUUGUACUACUUGUUAACUUGACAACGUGUUGUAUCCUUAUCAAUGAGACUAUUGUGAUUUAAGUGAGAUCA